ACUUCCUGAGCCGGAACGAAAAGUGUUUUGGAGUUUUGCGUUAACACGCUGAAUUUUGAGGGCUUUUGGCUUGUGGUCGUGAUGUUGUGUUUGCAAUUGACCUGACUCUUUUAAGGUCUGGUAGCCCGGCUACCGUUUAUUCCUGUAGAUUUACCCUGUCUGUCCAUAGUUAUUUUUUCAGCACCGCAAAUUGCGGUGCUUUUUUUA
rnacentral:other from 1 species